AAGAAGGAAGCAUAAAGGUUGUGUGAUUGGCUUGAAACUAGUUUGAGGGGGUUCGAUUCCCUCCCUUCUUG
rnacentral:tRNA from 1 species